GGGGAUUUAGCUCAGUGGUAGAGCGCUUGCCUAGCAAGCGAAAGGCCCUGGAUUCGGUCCCCAGCUCCG
rnacentral:tRNA from 1 species